GGGUUAGUAGGUUGGUCAUGCCUCUGGUAUGUACUGGUCUCACUGAUUCCUCCUUCCUGAUGAGCCGUAAUGCCAUUAAUUUGGUGUUGCGGGGAAUUUGGACUGUUACUUUGAAAAAAUUAGAGUGUUUAAAGCAGGCUCACGCUUGAAUACAUUAGCAUGGAAUAACGGAAUAGGACGUUUGAUUCUAUCUUGUUGGUUUCUAGGAUCGACGUA
rnacentral:rRNA from 1 species